rnacentral:rRNA from 1 species
UACGGAAGGCAGCAGUGGGGAAUAUUGCACAAUGGGCGCAAGCCUGAUGCAGCCAUGCCGCGUGUAUGAAGAAGGCCUUCGGGUUGUAAAGUACUUUCAGUCGUGAGGAAGGUGUUAAGGUUAAUAACCUUAGCAAUUGACGUUAGCGACAGAAGAAGCACCGGCUAACUCCGUGCCAGCAGCCGCGGUAAUACGGAGGGUGCGAGCGUUAAUCGGAAUUACUGGGCGUAAAGGGCACGCAGGCGGUUAAUUAAGUUGGAUGUGAAAUCCCCGGGCUUAACCUGGGAAUGGCAUUCAAGACUGGUUAGCUAGAGUCUUGUAGAGGGGGUAGAAUUCCAUGUGUAGCGGUGAAAUGCGUAGAGAUGUGGAGGAAUACCGGUGGCGAAGGCGGCCCCUGGACAAAGACUGACGCUCAUGUGCGAAAGCGUGGGGAGCAAACAGGGAUUUAGAU